GAUUUCAACUUUUUGUCCCUAUUCGGGCUGGGAAACGUUUUCACUUGAAAAUUCUCAUGAGAUGGAAAAUAGAUUCCCACCCAACUCUGCUCAAUACUGAUAAGUCAAAGAACAACCAGAUGUUUAAAAAAAGAUGAAAUUCAUCCCAGUGCAACAUGCCUGCAGGGUCUAUACAGUAUUUGAGGUCUGUGGAGGGUCUUCUAGAAGCCGAGGGCAAUAAGAACAGUCCUUGAAAAACUUACAGUCUAAAUAGACAAGACAGACGGUGGAGCAGAAGUACAGAGGAAUCAAAUGACUUGCCCAAUAUCAGCCAGCAGAUGGGAAACUGAAGCACAUAAAGGUUAAGCGACUGUCAAAGUCACACGAGAAGUCAGUGGUGGAGCAAGAAAUUGAUCCCAGUUUUCUGUCUAAUAUCCUAACCACUGGUCCAUCCUUCCUCCCUAUCAUAAUUUACAAGUUUUGAUGGAGAUUUCUGCAUAACUAACCUUUCAUAUGGAGAGAAAGGAGUUUGCAUGUAGCUGUAUACUGCGAAUCCUACUAAAUACAGUAGGAGGAAAGCAAUGUUUUUCAUUAUUCAUAUAGCCCUUUGCUUGGUCUGGCUGGGCCCUGCUCUGUUGCACCCUCUGAGAUGCCAGGCUGCUGUUUGCCAACGGACCUCACGCUGGAGCCAGGAGAGUGCUGCUAAAGCGACACAAACUCUUUCACCUAAGAAGACAAAGGAACCAGAUUUUGGACUUUGGGAGGGACUCUAACCUGAGAAUUUCCUCUGCCCUGUUGCUGGGAACAUGUGGGUAAAACCCAUAAGAUAGUUUAUAUCUAGUCUGGCCAGCACAUUGUGAAUGGACCAUUCAAAUUGAUGGCUCAUUAAAGAACACUUAAUGAACACUUACAAUGAACCAUAAAAGAAGCUUGUUCCCACCUGGUGAGCCUUCCUGUGGACGCUUAGCUAAAAUAUGGGUAAUGGUUCCUCCUGUGAGUCAUCAAAACAUGUAAGGGCAUGUAACCUGAUCAUGUGACCCUGGACUCCAUCUUGUGUCAUCUUUUCUACAGAAUGUGCUAGGGGCUUUGUUUGGGAUGGUGAAGUUCCCUCCACAUGGGAGAAGAUAUAAAAGAUCAUGGAACCAUCUCCAUUUUGCCUCUUUCCUGCUCUGAUCACUGGACUAUGGACUUACACUAAAAGGAGCAUUGCACUGAGGACCUUCCACUAUUUUGGAAGUUACCAGAGAUUUUACAAGCCAAUAAUUUAUUCCAUCACUGCUUCAAACCUAAUACAAGAACUUUGCAAUGAGUGUGUAUAUUUGUUUUCCUUGACCAUCUUAACUCUCUCCUCUAUCUUUUCUUUUCUAAAUAAACCUUUAAAUAUUAGAUAUUAAAGGAUUGGCAACAGCGUGA